rnacentral:rRNA from 1 species
UACGAAGGGGGCUAGCGUUGCUCGGAAUCACUGGGCGUAAAGGGUGCGCAGGCGGUCGGGUGUGUCAGAUGUGAAAUCCCGAGGCUCAACCCUCGGAACUGCGUCUGAAACUACUCGACUAGAGUACUGGAGAGGGUAACGGAAUUCACGGUGUAGCAGUGAAAUGCGUAGAUAUCGUGAGGAACACCAGAGGCGAAGGCGGUUUACCCUGGACAGUUUACUGACGCUCAGGCACGAAAGCAUGGGAGCAAAGGG